GAUGAACGCUGGCGGCGUGCCUAAUACAUGCAAGUCGAGCGAACAGACGAGGAGCUUGCUCCUCUGACGUUAGCGGCGGACGGGUGAGUAACACGUGGAUAACCUACCUAUAAGACUGGGAUAACUUCGGGAAACCGGAGCUAAUACCGGAUAAUAUAUUGAACCGCAUGGUUCAAUAGUGAAAGACGGUUUUGCUGUCACUUAUAGAUGGAUCCGCGCCGCAUUAGCUAGUUGGUAAGGUAACGGCUUACCAAGGCAACGAUGCGUAGCCGACCUGAGAGGGUGAUCGGCCACACUGGAACUGAGACACGGUCCAGACUCCUACGGGAGGCAGCAGUAGGGAAUCUUCCGUAAUGGGCGAAAGCCUGACGGAGCAACGCCGCGUGAGUGAUGAAGGUCUUCGGAUCGUAAAACUCUGUUAUCAGGGAAGAACAAAUGUGUAAGUAACUAUGCACGUCUUGACGGUACCUAAUCAGAAAGCCACGGCUAACUACGUG
rnacentral:rRNA from 1 species